rnacentral:rRNA from 1 species
GAUGAACGCUGGCGGCGUGCCUAAUACAUGCAAGUCGAGCGAACGGACGAGAAGCUUGCUUUUCUGAUGUUAGCGGCGGACGGGUGAGUAACACGUGGAUAACCUACCUAUAAGACUGGGAUAACUUCGGGAAACCGGAGCUAAUACCGGAUAAUAUUUUGAACCGCAUGGUUCAAAGGUGAAAGACGGUCUUGCUGUCACUUAUAGAUGGAUCCGCGCUGCAUGAGCUAGUUGGUAAGGUAACGGCCUACCAAGGCAACGAUGCAUAGCCGACCUGAGAGGGUGAUCGGCCACACGGGAAGUGGGACACGGUCCAGACUCCUACGGUAGGCAGCAGUAGGGAAUCUGCCGCAAUGGGCGAAAGCCUGACGGAGUAACGCCGCGUGAGUGAUGAAGGUCUUCGGAUCGUAAAACUCUGUUAUGAGGGAAGAACAGAUGUGUAAGGAACUGUGCACAUCUUGACGGUACCGAAUCAGAAAGCCACGGCUAACUACGUG